UACGUAGGGGGCGAGCGUUGUCCGGAUUUAUUGGGCGUAAAGAGCUCGUAGGCGGCUUGGCAAGUCGGGUGUGAAACCUCCAGGCUCAACCUGGAGACACCACUCGAUACUGCCAUGGCUAGAGUCCGGUAGGGGACCACGGAAUUCCUGGUGUAGCGGUGAAAUGCGCAGAUAUCAGGAGGAACACCGGUGGCGAAGGCGGCGUCCUGGACCAACACUGACACUGAGGAGCGAAAGCCAGGGGAGCAAACGGG
rnacentral:rRNA from 1 species